CAUGCAAGUCGAGGGGUAUAGUUUUUCGGAACUAGAGACCGGCGCACGGGUGCGUAACGCGUAUGCAAUCUACCUUUUGCAGAGGGAUAGCCCAGAGAAAUUUGGAUUAAUACCUCAUAGUAUAGCAGUUUCGCAUGAAACCACUAUUAAAGUCACAACGGCAAAAGAUGAGCAUGCGUCCCAUUAGCUAGAUGGUAAGGUAACGGCUUACCAUGGCCACGAUGGGUAGGGGUCCUGAGAGGGAGAUCCCCCACACUGGUACUGAGACACGGACCAGACUCCUACGGGAGGCAGCAGUGAGGAAUAUUGGUCAAUGGACGCAAGUCUGAACCAGCCAUGCCGCGUGCAGGAUGACGGUCCUAUGGAUUGUAAACUGCUUUUGUACGAGAAGAAACAACAUUACGUGUAAUGUCUUGACGGUAUCGUAAGAAUAAGGAUCGGCUAACUCCGUGCCAGCAGCCGCGGUAAUACGGAGGAUCCAAGCGUUAUCCGGAAUCAUUGGGUUUAAAGGGUCCGUAGGCGGUUUAGUAAGUCAGUGGUGAAAGCCCAUCGCUCAACGGUGGAACGGCCAUUGAUACUGCUAGACUUGAAUUAUUAGGAAGUAACUAGAAUAUGUAGUGUAGCGGUGAAAUGCUUAGAGAUUACAUGGAAUACCAAUUGCGUAGGCAGCUUACUAGAGGUUCACUGACGCUGAUGCACGAAGCGUGGGGAUCAACAGGAUAGAUCCCUGGUAGUCACGCGUAACGAUGAUACUCGCUGUG
rnacentral:rRNA from 1 species